GUCUACGGCCAUGCUACCCUGAACAUACACAAUCUUAUAUGAUCUCGGAAGCUAAGCAGAGUUGUGCCUGGUUAGUACUUGGAUGGGAGACCACCUAGGAAGACCAGGUGCUGUAGGAG
rnacentral:rRNA from 1 species